rnacentral:lncRNA from 1 species
AAAAAAAAACAUAACAAAGUCCAUUUGGAAGAACAAAAGAUCAAGGAUAUCCAGGGAAAUAAUGAAAAAAAUGAGAAGGAAGGUAGCCUUGCAGUCCCAGAAUUCAAACUAUACUAUAAAGCAGUGGUCAUCAAAAUAAUAUGGCAAUGGCUAAGAGACAGAAAGGAGGAUCAGUGGAGUAGGCUUGGGAUUCAUCUCUUCUCCACAGAUCUGACAGGUUAGAUACAAGCAAAGGAAAGAUGACUAGCUAAUGGAAAUAGACUUCAGUAUGCUAAUGGAAGCAAUGUCCACAUGAGAAGUAAAGUAAAAUACAUCAUUAUCUUCCAUCACUCUACUCUUCUAUUCAUUUGUGUGAAGUAAGAAGGAGAAGACUAGCUGGAUGGAGAGGAGAUUGGAGAACAUCACAAUUCAAGAGUAAUGGAUGGAUGUUUCAGAGAGACCACUUUUGGCUAAAAUGAAAAAAUACAUAAAAAUUAAAGCUAUAUAAAAAUAACUAACUUAAGGAGGUAAUGACUUCCUCAUCAAUGGACAUCUUUAUUUCUUUAUUUUACAUGUAAUUUAAAUUGCCCUUCCCCAGCCUCUUCUCACUGAACAAUAAUAACAGUAGCAGCAGUAACAACAAAAGAAACUCUCAUCAUUAACUUGUAUAAUUUGGCAAAAAUAAAUUCACAUUGGCU